rnacentral:rRNA from 1 species
GAGUAACGCGUGGGAACGUACCCUUCACUACGGAAUAGCUUCUGGAAACGGAAGGUAAUACCGUAUACGCCCUCCGGGGGAAAGAUUUAUCGGUGAAGGAUCGGCCCGCGUUAGAUUAGUUUGUUGGUGGGGUAAUGGCCUACCAAGACUACGAUCUAUAGCUGGUCUGAGAGGAUGAUCAGCCACACUGGGACUGAGACACGGCCCAGACUCCUACGGGAGGCAGCAGUGGGGAAUCUUGCACAAUGGGCGAAAGCCUGAUGCAGCCAUGCCGCGUGAAUGAUGAAGGCCUUAGGGUUGUAAAAUUCUUUCGCCAGGGAUGAUAAUGACAGUACCUGGUAAAGAAGCCCCGGCUAACUUCGUGCCAGCAGCCGCGGUAAUACGAAGGGGGCUAGCGUUGUUCGGAAUUACUGGGCGUAAAGCGCGCGUAGGCGGGCUAUUAAGCCAGAUGUGAAAGCCCGGGGCUCAACCUCGGAAUUGCAUUUGGAACUGGUAGCCUAGAGACCAGGAGAGGUUAGCGGAAUACCGAGUGUAGAGGUGAAAUUCGUAGAUAUUCGGUGGAACACCAGUGGCGAAGGCGGCUAACUGGACUGGUACUGACGCUGAGGCGCGAAAGUGUGGGGAGCAAACAGGAUUAGAUACCCUGGUAGUCCACACCGU